CUGAUAGUGUUAUCUACAAUGGAGGUGUGCCCCAGUUUCAGCCACUGGUGUAACUGCAUCCCAGCAAACCUUAGAAGCAGUAGGAAAAUCCACUCUUUUUGCUGUACAAGUUUACCCCUAGCUCAAAUCAUGUUGGUUUUCAGUAAAAAUAGUGGCUUACAAUGGUGUACUUCAGUUGGACUAGCAUUUGUACAGUGCUCAGCAGCUGUCCGCUGACAGCUAAAAUCAGGCCACAUUCUCAGUAAAGACAAGACCUUAAUCAGCAGCUUUAGCAUUGAUAGUAGUCUCUGCUAUCUGUAGAAUGAGUAACAUCUCAGAGGGAGACACAUUCUCGGAGCUUUUAGAGCUGCUCACCUUCCAUACCAAAAAAUAUCCUCCCUGAACACCAGAAUUCAUGAGUUCAUUGUGUCUCAGCCUCUGGAGAGUUUAUGGCUGAAGAAGUUUGAAUGCUAUCAUCAGUCAGAUGUUAGAGGCAUGCACUGGAAAAAGAAAGGCAUUUCUUUCAGCCUGAAUACUCCAAAUUCCUAUCAGAUGGCCAGUGAAUUCAUUUUCCAUGACCUCCAGCUGAAGAACACAACAUUAGUGAAGAGCUCUGGCAGAGAAAGUUGCCUGAGCAUUUCCAUGUCCGAUGCAGCAGUUUUCAGAACUUGGGGUUCAAUCUUCAGGUUCAGGAUUUGUCUGGAAUUCACUAAUGUGCUGAUUCCCGACCAGGCAGGAUGAGUUCUACCAACCCACUCCCUCCCUCUCUGAACAAGAAGUGGACAUCUCAAAGGGGUUUUAGAAAGAAGAAAAAAGAAAUCGUUGGGACCAAAACCUGGAAAACCUAACAGGAGAAAAGACAAGAUUUUUUCUCCAUAAACUGUAUAUAAUCCA